rnacentral:rRNA from 1 species
CCUACGGGCGGCAGCAGUGGGGGAUAUUGCACAAUGGGGGGAACCCUGAUGCAGCGACGCCGCGUGGGUGAAGAAGCGCCUCGGCGCGUAAAGCCCUGUCAGCAGGGAAGAAAAUGACGGUACCUGAAGAAGAAGCCCCGGCUAACUAAGUGCCAGCAGCCGCGGGAAUACGUAGGGGGCAAGCGUUAUCCGGAUUUACUGGGUGUAAAGGGGGCGCAGACGGCGAUGCAAGCCAGGAGGGAAAGCCCGGGGCCCAACCCCGGGACUGCUCUUGGAACUGCGUGGCUGGAGUGCAGGAGGGGCAGGCGGAAUUCCUGGUGUAGCGGUGAAAUGCGUAGAUAUCAGGAGGAACACCGGUGGCGAAGGCGGCCUGCUGGACUGCAACUGACGUUGAGGCCCGAAAGCGUGGGGAGCAAACAGGAUUAGAUACCCCUGUAGUC